UACUAACAGUUUCCGAGCUCUAUGCAAUCAGCAGCUAUUACUAAAAAGAAUAAAGUAAAUAAAGAACUGUAGGGGAGGAGUCACUGUACACAAAUGAGCGCCUAUAAAGUAGCAGAUGAUAAAAAGAAAAAUGAUCCGACAGUGAAAGGAUUAAGCAUUUAGGAGGCGCAGGUGCGAGGCGUUUACUAUAUAUAACACCUCGACUUUCCCAUGACUCGGUGACAAAGAGGAGCAGUCAGGCGGGUGGGCUGAAGGCGGCCACAGCCACAGCUGACCACUUCGCCGCACCCUCCGCCUCAUUCCAGGCAGUGCAAUGCUUGGAGGUGGCUGUGGAGCAAGAAGGAAUGUGUCAGUGUGUUUAGUCAAGAAGGGGGAUCAUCAACAACAGCAGAGCAAGUUUUAAUGAAGCGGCUCAUCAUCAACACUGCCUACCUGUAAAAUGCUUUGAUGUCUACAUAUUGGUAUUUGUUAAUCACCUCGCCUGCCUGUCUCCCCCUCUGGUAUCAUGGCCCUGGAGAGUCUCACGUCUUCCCUCCAUGCCAGCGCCACACGCCAGCAGGCGUCAGAUUUUCAACAAUCCACUGCUAGUGGGCGAAGCUGCAACCUCUACUGCACCAAGAAAACCAGCAAUGUCCCAGUGUGCAUCUUCUACGGAUACAAAUGUGACACCACGUGAUACUUCUACGCCCUGUACUUCCAAGCGAUCAGCCAAAAGGACACAUGACGAUGCAGAUGACGUAAUUAGGGAAGCCCUCCAGCAAAUGAGGGAAUUGUCGUCUACACAAGACACUGCCGAUGAGUUCACUGAUUUUGCAAAAGUAAUUGCAAAUGACUUGCGACAACUGACGGGUGAAACCCAAAUUGUGGCACAAAAAUUAAUAUAUGACGUUAUAUUUCUUGCUAAACUUGGUAAACUUUCAACUUCCUCAAUGAUUAGACAGUAAUUCAUAAUCUAGAUGGGUUUACACAUAGUGCAUUUUUUUAUUUUGAGUUUGGAUUGUGUUCCAGCCCCCUAAAAAUAAAUGGAAAUUGUAAAGUGUGAACACACACACACACACACGUAUGUAUACAUAUAUAUGCGGGAGCAGACACACAUGUAUCCAUAUACAUAUAUGCUAAAGUAUAUAUGUAAUGGAUAGAAAUAGCACUAUUAUUUCAUAUAAACACAGCUGGGCCUUUAUUACACAUAACAUAAGCAUACAUAAUGGACGACAAUACACUAUGUACUAAGCUCAAUAAAGUUGUUUGC